rnacentral:rRNA from 1 species
UACGAAGGGGGCUAGCGUUGCUCGGAAUCACUGGGCGUAAAGGGUGCGUAGGCGGGUUUUUAAGUCAGGGGUGAAAUCCUGGAGCUCAACUCCAGAACUGCCUUUGAUACUGAAGAUCUUGAGUCCGGGAGAGGUGAGUGGAACUGCGAAGUGUAGAGGUGAAAUUCGAUAGAUAUUCGCAAGAACACCAGUGGCGAAGGCGGCUCACGUGGCCCGGUACUGACGCUGAGGUGCGAAAGCGUGGGGAGCAACAGGG